UUUAUGGAGAGUUUGAUCCUGGCUCAGGAUGAACGCUGGCGGCGUGCCUAAUACAUGCAAGUCGAGCGAACGGACGAGAAGCUUGCUUCUCUGAUGUUAGCGGCGGACGGGUGAGUAACACGUGGAUAACCUACCUAUAAGACUGGGAUAACUUCGGGAAACCGGAGCUAAUACCGGAUAAUAUUUUGAACCGCAUGGUUCAAAAGUGAAAGACGGUCUUGCUGUCACUUAUAGAUGGAUCCGCGCUGCAUUAGCUAGUUGGUAAGGUAACGGCUUACCAAGGCAACGAUGCAUAGCCGACCUGAGAGGGUGAUCGGCCACACUGGAACUGAGACACGGUCCAGACUCCUACGGGAGGCAG
rnacentral:rRNA from 1 species